AUGACGUCGGCGUCGGCGCCCUCCCGCGCGCUCCCAUUCCUCUCGCCGCUGUCCGCCGCCCCGCGCGGCCCCUCCGGCCGGCUCCGCUGCGCGGCGGCCGCCGGGCAGGCCGGCUUCUUCACCCGCCUCGGCCGGCUCAUCAAGGAGAAGGCCAAGAGCGACGUCGACAAGCUCUUCUCCGGCUUCUCCAAGACCCGCGAGACCCUCUCCGUCGUCGACGAGCUGCUCACCUACUGGAACCUCGCCGACACCGACCGCGUCCUCGACGACCUCGAGGAGGCGCUGUUGGUGUCGGACUUCGGGCCCAAGAUCUCGUUCCGGAUCGUCGACGCCCUCCGCGACCAGAUCCGCGACGGCAAGCUCAAGUCCGGGACCGAGAUAAAGGCGUCGCUGAAGAGAUGCAUCCUCGAGCUGCUCACGACCAAGGGCAGCAAGACCGAGCUGCAGCUCGGCUUCAGGAAGCCGGCGGUUAUCAUGAUCGUGGGAGUGAACGGAGGCGGCAAGACGACAUCGCUAGGAAAACUUGCCUACAGAUUUAAGAAUGAAGGAGCGAAGGUAUUGAUGGCGGCAGGUGAUACCUUCCGAGCAGCAGCUCGUGACCAGCUAGAAAUUUGGGCUGAGAGGACUGGCUCAGAGAUUGUUAUCGAUAACGAUAAGAAGGCGCAGGCUCCAUCAGUUCUUUCGCAGGCAGUAAAGCGUGGGAAGCGUGAAGGAUUUGAUAUUGUUCUAUGUGAUACGUCAGGACGACUUCAUACAAAUUACGGUCUCAUGGAAGAGUUGGUUUCUUGCAAGAAAGUCAUAGCUAAAGCCCUGCCUGGUGCUCCUAAUGAGAUCUUGCUGGUUCUGGAUGGCACAACUGGAUUAAAUAUGCUACAGCAAGCGAAGGAGUUCAACGAUGUUGUUGGGAUCACAGGAUUCAUCCUGACGAAGUUAGACGGGACUGCUCGUGGUGGCUGCGUGGUGAGCGUCGUGGACGAACUUGGAAUUCCAGUCAAGUUUGUUGGCGUCGGCGAAGGGGUGGAAGAUCUCCAACCUUUUGAUGCAGAGGCAUUUGUUGAAGCCAUUUUCCCAUAA
rnacentral:rRNA from 1 species